UUUAUGGAGAGUUUGAUCCUGGCUCAGGAUGAACGCUGGCGGCGUGCCUAAUACAUGCAAGUCGAGCGAACAGACGAGGAGCUUGCUCCUCUGACGUUAGCGGCGGACGGGUGAGUAACACGUGGAUAACCUACCUAUAAGACUGGGAUAACUUCGGGAAACCGGAGCUAAUACCGGAUAAUAUAUUGAACCGCAUGGUUCAAUAGUGAAAGACGGUUUUGCUGUCACUUAUAGAUGGAUCCGCGCCGCAUUAGCUAGUUGGUAAGGUAACGGCUUACCAAGGCAACGAUGCGUAGCCGACCUGAGAGGGUGAUCGGCCACACUGGAACUGAGACACGGUCCAGACUCCUACGGGAGGCAGCAGUAGGGAAUCUUCCGCAAUGGGCGAAAGCCUGACGGAGCAACGCCGCGUGAGUGAUGAAGGUCUUCGGAUCGUAAAACUCUGUUAUUAGGGAAGAACAAAUGUGUAAGUAACUAUGCACGUCUUGACGGUACCUAAUCAGAAAGCCACGGCUAACUACGUGCCAGCAGCCGCGGUAAUA
rnacentral:rRNA from 1 species